ACAGGUCUCAUGCAGAUCAUGGACUGCAUUCUAAAUUUACAAAUCUGUUUUUUAAAUUAAAAAAAAAAACAAAAACAUGGCAUGAACAAAAGCCAUUUAUUAUUUAAGAACUGGCCAAGAUGAGCAGGGUCUAGAACAUCUUACAGGUAUCCUUAACACUCAGUGUGGCAGUUUCCAUGUGUCACUGCAACGCUUUGGUCCAGACUCAACCAUCUCACCAAUGGAAGGACAGCAUUAAAAUUGCAUUAGUAUGUGGUUUUGCUGUCUCCACAUGAUAAUUUAUGGUCUGAAAGGUCUCCAUCCCCUCAGUGCUACAUCUGCCUUUCGUGCUCCUGAAACCAACUGUUACUAAACACCGAUGAUCCCGAGCCUCUACACUGCUCUUCAGUUUCCACAUGCUUAACACUUAUUUUAUUUUUAUUGAUCUGUGUGUUUUCAUGUGUAUGUGUUUUUGGCUCAACUGGAAAGCACUAUGCGCCAACUCCCAUUGUUUUUAAAUGUGCUCUAUACUCUCAAUAAAGUGGCUU